rnacentral:rRNA from 1 species
CCUACGGGAGGCAGCAGUGGGGAAUAUUGGGCAAUGGGCGCAAGCCUGACCCAGCAACGCCGCGUGAAGGCAGAAGGCUUUCGGGUUGUUAACUUCUUUUGACAGGGAAGAGUAGAUGUCGGUACCUGUCGAAUAAGCCAUGGCUAACUACGUGCCAGCAGCCGCGGUCAUACGUAGGUGGCAAGGGUUGUCCGGAUUACUGGGUGUAAAGGGCGUGUAGCCGGGUUGACAAGUCAGAUGUGAAAUCCUGCGGCUUAACCGCAGAACUGCAGUUGAAACUGUUGAUCUUGAGUACUGGAGAGGCAGACGGAAUGCGUGGUGUAGCGGUGAAAUGCGUAGAUAUUAGGAGGAACACCAGUGGCGAAGGCGGUCUGCUGGACAGCAACUGACGGUGAGGCGCGAAAGCGUGGGGAGCAAACAGGAUUAGAUACCCCAGUAGUC